AGUGAACGCUGGCGGUAGGCCUAACACAUGCAAGUCGAACGGCAGCACAGUAAGAGCUUGCUCUUACGGGUGGCGAGUGGCGGACGGGUGAGGAAUACAUCGGAAUCUACUUUUUCGUGGGGGAUAACGUAGGGAAACUUACGCUAAUACCGCAUACGACCUACGGGUGAAAGCAGGGGAUCUUCGGACCUUGCGCGAUUGAAUGAGCCGAUGUCGGAUUAGCUAGUUGGCGGGGUAAAGGCCCACCAAGGCGACGAUCCGUAGCUGGUCUGAGAGGAUGAUCGGCCACACUGGAACUGAGACACGGUCCAGACUCCUACGGGAGGCAGCAGUGGGGAAUAUUGGGCAAUGGGCGAAAGCCUGACCGAGCAACCCCGCGUGGGUGAUGAAGGCCUUCGGAUCGUAAAGCUCUUUUAUUGGGGAAGAAAAGAAGUGGGUGUAACCCCGCAUAUCUUGACGGUACCUAAAGAGAAAGCCCCGGCUAACUACGUG
rnacentral:rRNA from 1 species